AUGUGUAUUGAAAUAAAUCGAUUUAUUUCGAUUAGUAAAUGUAUGAAUGUAAUAUGCUUAAAUAGGAAAUUAGAAACAAGCCGUAGACUUAAGUUUGUAUGAAUAAUAAUUGUAUACAAUUGGAAUAGAUUCAAUGAAUGAAAUGCAAGGGAUGAUAUGUGCUAGAAACUAGCAAUAUGAAAUGAAGGACACUAAUAAGAGCUCUGGAGCAGAAUCUAACAUAAGUAUAGUUAUGAAAGUAACUUACUUAUUAUAAGGGCAUAGGAACGAUGUGUACGAUUACGUACAUACAUGAAUUAAACAUUUGCCAAGAUCCCAAAUGCGUUUAGGUUGUAGUAAGUAUAGUGGAUGAACAACUUGAAAGAGGUAAGAGUAGAAUGGUCUAGUUUGAAUGAGAAAGGUUUCGGGGACGAAACCUCUUUUAAGGGGGGUAGACUUGUAACGCCCCAAAAUUAUGCAAAUUAAUUAUGUUACUUAAGAUGUCUAGUCAUGUAUUAUUUUACCUAGUUAAGUAUGUAUAUGUUAGUAACUUGAUUAGAAGGAAGGUUAUAUGACAAAUAAAAUAUCUAAGUAAAUAGGAGGACUAAACUUGUUAAAAGGUUGAAAGUUUAAUAAAUAAAAGAAAAAAAUAAAAAACACACACCCGGGUGUGAUGGCGUGGAUCGAUCAGAGCAAAGGGGGGAGAAGACAAACCCUAACUUCAUGAAAUUCUCAAGAAUUGAAAGAGAUUAGGAGCCCAAACUAAUGCAUGAACUCGAAACCUCAAUCAUCUAAGCUUGUACAACAAGCGGUAAGUCGAAUUUUCUGUUUUGAAUGAAUUGUAGGAAGUGGGUUUACACCCAAUCAUGAAAUUAUGUGGAAAUUAUAUGUAAUAGAGGGUUAGGGUUUCAUAAUGGUUCGAAAUCUUUGCUUGAUUUCUGAUUGAUUGAAUGAUUUAAGUAUAUUACCCAAUUGUUGUGAAGAAAUCAUAAACCCAAUGUUUUGCAUGUAUGCUAUGAUCUUGAAUAGAGAUAGAAAAAUUAGUUAAGAUGGUGUAGGAUGGAAGAAAGCUAUGAACUUGAUUGAUUCUUGUUAGAUUAGAAGGUGAAUAAGAAGAGUUAUGCUAUAAAUACUUGUACACUAUGCUUAAUUAACGGUACGCCCACCAAGUGUAUGAUGAAAUGCCUAAGUGACGAUUUUAGAUGAAUUAUGUAUAAUGAUGGAUGGGAAAAAGUAUAGAAUGUAAUAAUGAAGAAUUAUAGU
rnacentral:lncRNA from 1 species